AUUCGGGAGUUCGCGGGCGGUAGGGAAGGCAGUCUCUACCAAGCGCUAACCCUGACUUUCAAUAUAUCUCCUCGUUGUAUUGCUUGUUUUUUUAUGGUAGGGUUUCAGGCAAUAGUGGAGAGUUUAAAUAACUAAAGAACCCUACUCUGAGCGUUCUCUCGAAUGAUAUGCAUGCGCACAACAUUAAGUAAGGACGCCAUCUAUUUUCAGUUGGCCGUAUUAGGCCACCCUCGGUCCGGCCAGUUUCUCCUUGUCGGGUUCUUUCCAGCUGAGUUCGUCCCAGCGGCGGUUCCUCGGGAGAUGUCAAUGUAAUGGAAGUAGGUGUGUCCUAUGUUCAGAUUAAACUGCCAACAUAUGUACGCGGGCACAUAAGAUGUUGUGUUCGACGAAAGUGCUGGCAAACAUUU
rnacentral:telomerase_RNA from 1 species